GAAUCCUAAAUUUGAGAAAUUAUUUUUUUUUAUAUUCCUUUUAAAAAGUUUCAAUACCUAAAAAUAUAUGUAACUUAGGAGCCGCAGCAUUAUCAUAUUACGAAAUCGUAAAAAGCAAUUGCAACGUGAUGAAGGCUAAUGCAAAAUGCACCUGAAUACAUAAAGUUUCUUCAGAUGGAACGAUAUUAAAUUAUUUUUUCGAAUCGACGACACAUUUCGGGGAUAUGUCUGACAAUACGAGCUGAAUUAACUCUCGAAUUCUUUAGAAGAAAUCCUCAAAUUGAUCAUCAUUGGCAAGCUCUUACAUAAGAAUACCUCCAAUAUUUUCAAAGCUUGAAGAACAACAUUGACACAAUACUGUCCUCAAAGUGUUAUUGCGGUUUAAUAUCAGCAGGCAUCAUUGGAUCUAACUUUUACGAAAAUUGGUUAUAUCAAAAGUUAUAGUAAAAUAUUUGCGUAUGAUCAGAGUAGGAUGGUAUUGAUCGGACAACGUUUACAUUCAACAAAGAUUUCGUUGCUUGAUAGAGACGGAUGCCCCAUUCGAGUGUAGUUCAAGCGGUCAGAGAGACAUGCCCGAAUAUGCAAUAAUAGAUAAUUAACUUCUUGACCUUGAAACUGAAUUUAAACGUCAAUUAAUGAUUUCAAAAGAGAAUUAUCUUCCCUCCAACGCUGUCAUUCUUAUUUCAACAUGCGAUCAUGAGAAGAAAAUACCCCUUGUUUGGAGACAUCUCCGUGCAGCCCAAGUCGACUAUUCAACCCAAUUUAUUUUGAAUUUUUAUGGAAAUAUAGCCACAAUACUUGCGUCCACAUAAAUGCAGGGAUUUGUAGCCACAGCUUUCUGCAAUUUUAAAUUAGAAUGAUUGCAAUUUGCACGCUCGAUUAAGAAAAAUUAAAACUUAUAUAAAAAGUGAAGGCUUAAAUAUCAUAGUAAUUAGUUUUCACUAGAAUGUGAUCUCUAAAAAAUAUAUAUCCUGGCACAAUGUGA